GUAUUAGUGGCAUUGGUAGGUUGGUAACACUGCAUGAAUCAAUUAACCAAAGCUGUGAAAAAGGACGUUAUAGAAAUUAUCCGAGGGUAUGCGAAUGUGGCUUCUCGGCUGUACGCACACACACACACAUGUAUAAGCCAGCAGGUACACACACACACACACACACACACAUAUACACCAGCAGGUACACACACACACACAAACACUCAUAUAAGCCAGCAGGUACACACACACUCACACACACAAACAUACACUCACAUACUUGGAGUUCAGUGGUCAAUGCGUUCAGCCGACAACUAGUCACUCUAAUAAUUACGUAUCGGAAACAAUAAUCCUACGAGACACGGACGAGUGGUAUUCCCUUCUGAACAUCACCACUAAUUACGUCCCGCUACGGUUGGGGUCCAGCCUCAAGAAUAAACAGAAUGAAGACAAAAACUCGUAUCUACGGCAAGUAUAUUAUGCGUCAGUUUCACUCCACACAAAAAUUAGAUAAAAAAAUGAUGAAAUGACCUCACAACAUGUCACCUAUGCCAUGUAACACCUCCAGGAUAAUCUAUAAGGCGUUACGUAAGCUCGGUAAAAACUGUGGACCAUAUUUCUAAACGUCUCGGUCUCCAUUAUGACUUUUUUCCAAGACCACAGGGAAGGUUAGCUGGGUUUUCAUGGGUGUUUUUUUACGUUCGAGAUGCAGAGGCCGUGUCAAACUCUCACUGACAUCACAAAACAGUCCAUGAAGAGUUGGUUAAACUUAUUGUGCUUCCAUUAUGUUUCUUUUUCCAAGGCCACAGGGAAGGUUUGCUGGGUUUUCAUGGGUGUUUUUUUAUGUUCGAGAUGCAGAGGUCAUGUCAAACUCUCACUGACAUCACAAAACAGUCCAUGAAGAGUUGGUUAAACAUAUUGUGCUUCCAUUAUGUUUCUUUUUCCAAGGCCACAGGGAAG